GAUCAGACUCACUUAUUUAGAUCUAACUGUUAACAUAACAACUAACCUCGUCAACAGUACGUUUAGCAAUUUUGAGGUGCGGACGAAAACUCUGCCAUGAGCGAGCGGACGUUAAAAAAAAGGCUCGCUGGGCAACCACGUAAUCCCACCCUCAAUUAACGCUAACUUCCUAUCUAAUCUCACCCGAGCGAGCGGGACGGGGGGCAUGCCCGGCGGGUAGUCCGCCUCAGAAGUCCACGCCACAGGGAGCGCAGGAUAACCACAGUCGCCGUUGCCAUGGCUGGCAAGAGCAUCGAGGCUGCUUCCUCUCCGUUCAGGACGCUGGUCUGGCGUCGGGCCGGAACAAGGUGUCGUUCUUUCUGUGCCGCGCGCCGUCCGUUCUUGGCGCGAGAGGGCUACGCCGCCGUCGCAGUUGGCCGUGUUGACGGAGACAACGAGGGCGCCGCCAAGUCCAUGCGCCGCCUCGGCCCCAGUAGCUUGGAGUCUAAAGGGAUCGUGCCGUUCCAUGGUGCAGACCCUGCGCCGUCGUCCUUGGCCGCGCGGGGCUGCAGAUCGCACCGACGGCCAGAGGCGACCACCCGUGCGGCUGCGUUCAAAGGCGCUGUGCACAGGGAGAUGGCCAGCCUCCCAGAGAGGAAGACACCGAUCAGAAUCGACAUGAUUUUCUUACCAUGGUGUAAUCUUGAGCACGCAAAGGCGCUGUGCACAGGAGAUGGCUGGCCUCCCGGAGAGGAUGACACUGGUACUGAACUACUUGCCAUUAGCUGUUGGUGAUGUGGAUUCAAACAGUCCACAAUUAUUUUGCUGAGUUUGGAUAAAAUUGUACGUAUGAUUUGUAUUUUUUUCAUGUUUGUAAUAUGCUUGGGACAGUCCGUAUUAUUCACAACAUGGCUUACAUAUGCAGGAUUAGUGGCAAUAUUUUACUCUCAGAAAAUAAAUGUUUAUUAUUGGAUAAUGUACUUAGAAUUAUUUGCAACACGCCAAUGCGGGCGAAUAGUUUUGUACUAUCAACUGCAACAAGAUGUUCCGGGUAUCUACAUCCUCCCCUUCAUUACUACUCCGUACUAUAUAGUCCUAUCAAUGGGAAAAUGAAGUGCAGAAAAGUCUGCAACAAGAUAUACUCUGUUAUCUACCUUGUUAUUUCAGUAAUUGAAUUCACGGGCUAAUGAAGUCUGAUAAUUUUUCUUGCGUGGACAUCAAAUCUUCACUUCGAUUUUGACUACAGGACUGACGACUUAAAGACCAUAACCCAAAUUUAGGUUCGGUUUUGCUUUCUCAGUUCAAUAGAGUGGCCCAAAGAACUGAUUUUGAAAUUUACACUACAACCUGAGCUCUAAGAGUGUUUGCAGGUCAUUGUUCAGACUGCAACAGUUUCGACAUCAUUAUCUGCAAUUAGAUUUGAUUUGGUGUGUCGCGGGGAAGAGGAGGCAGCGGCGCCGGUACGUAGCAGACUGGACUGAAGGCGGAGCAUCAGAGUACUCUGAUCUACCAGAGUGUCCGAUUGAUGCUGCCCACUGCUCUUGAUAUAUCAAGUAAACAGUUCGCUCGGAGUGAUUUAAAUUUAGUCUUCACGAACGGCGGCCCGGCCGUCCUCCCCAGGGCGGCUCGGGCGGCGACCCCUCCCCCCGGCCGAAACCCCCCUCCCGCUACUCCCUCCCGCCGCCGCCAAAAGCUCCUGCCGGGCAAAGCCCGCUCAGAUCUGGCGGCGGCGGGGCGUCAUUCUUUGCGCAGAGCGCCCCACGAGCCGGGGAGCUCUGUGUGGCGCGGGCGGCGCGGCGUGACUCCGACGCGCGUCACUUCUUCGAGCGCGGUGGCCGGGGACGGUGGGGGUGGGUGCGCUUGCGGCUCCCUCCCGCUGGCCUCCCUCGAACCGGCGACUCCCCGCUGCGUUGGCGCCCGGUGCUUCGGGGGCGUCGGGGAUCUGCUGGUUUUGGUUGGGGGUCCGGCGGAGGUGCUCUGUGAGGCGCGGGGUGGUGGUGCUCGCCCCUUGCCUGGGCGACGUGCCUGCCGGCCGCGGAUUUGGCUCCGAUCCGAUUGGGGGCGGGCGGGGCAUGUUGGAUCCUGCCGGAUCUGGCCUGCGGUGGACCGGAUCCGGUCAUGUGUGGCGGCGGGGCUGCAGUGGCCCUUCUCUGUGGCAAUGUGCAGGGGGCAGUGCUCCACGACCUGUCAAUGCUUCUAGGAGGUGGUAUUCUCACUUGGGCGAAAGCUCUGCUCCUGCCGGAGCCGGCGACGGCGACGCCUGCGGGCGCCGUGUACCUCUGUGGAGGCGGCGCUGUCAUGGUGAGUGCUCCUCCGAAAACCUGGGGAAACCCAUGUUUCAGGUUCUCCUGGAACAGGUGAUGGCGGCGCAUUUUGUGUCGCAUCCCUUCUUGAAGGCAUCAUCUAGGUUCGGCUUGGUUCGUCUAUGUGGGGGCUGCUCGCUGUGGGUUCGAUGGUGGUGGUGGUGCGGCCAAUUUGGGGUCGACGGUGGUGUGUGCCUUGUUGGUGAGAAGGUGGUGCUCUGUCUGCGAGAUCGUGGCUCAGCCAUGCGCCGGAUUGGGUUUGAUUUUCAUCCGAAGCCGGGUUAGCAGGGUCGUUAUCCUACUCAAUGGAUCUCCUCGUUCCCAUAUGGCACCUCUACCUCUGCGGGGUGCUGUUGGGUGGCAACCAGCCGGCCAACGUUCAAGGCUCUUCUCCUUGCUUGGUCGGAUGAAGGUGUAAGUUGAGGUCCUCCUCCUUGCUGGUUGUGCUGAUGAUAUUUGGAAUGGCGGUCGGUGGUGUUGGUGCGUCCGGCUUCGGAUCUUCGAAAGGCCUUCUUCUGUGCCCUUUCCUCGGCGGGUCUUCCGGAGGUUCGGCUGGAUGUGUGCGUGCGUGUGUGUGUGUGUGUGUUUUUUGGUUGUGUCUCCUCUUGUUUCCCCCGUGUAUUCUGGUUCACUUGAACCUAUCUUGUAUGGAGCUGCGAGGCUUCUAGGCAAAUUCGAUGGAAUAUAUUCAGGUGGUUGAGGGGGGCCCCUCCUCCCCUGGUGAAAAUUAAAAAAAAAAAUAUCAGGUAAACACAGAUAAUGAUUAUUGCAGCCAUGAACCUGUUGAGUCUAUAUUUCAUCCCAUCUUCAUGCACGUGGUAGUCCCGCCUUUGCAGGGCCUUGAUAUAUUUGCAAUGGAUUAAGCAAAGGGCCUCUGUUGAUUCACUCGUGUUCUCAUUUGAAACUAUUUGAGAUGUGAAUCUUGAAUUUUAUGUUCUUAUAAUUUCUUAGCAGAUUGAUUAGGACUGAUUUGGUUUCUAUUUUGUUUGGGCAAGUGGAACAGCUUGCGAAGCUUUACACUAAUUCACGGACUCACUAUGUAGCAAUUAAAGGGUGAUUGAUAGUUCCAACUUUUACUGUUAUAACUUCGGUUAUUACCUUUUCCAAUAUAUGCAUAUUUAAUAUUUCUCUCUGCACAUCAUUUAAGCAGGUGGUUCCAUUUGAGACAUUUAGGAAGAGUACGGUCUUUUCAGAUUUUAAUUGAUAUCUAUAUUGUUUCUUUCAUAUAAUGGGCAAGUGUGGAAACCAAUGCUAAUAGAAGGCAUGCAUUGCACAUGUAUUGUCUUAUUAACCGUGCACAUUUUGGAGCAUGAUAAUUGUCAAAUGGAUUGUCUAACAAUACUGAGGAGACCUGCAUGUCUGUCUAGAUUCUUAAUAUGGAACCAAUAGAUGAUGGAUGGCCAUUUUUUGCAACAUCUGACUGAGGAAUAAUGGUACAAUUGAUAAGACAAGGGCUGGACUUCCCUCCGCAACAAUCUUCUUUGCUCAAGUAAUUCAAGGUAUGUUUCAUUGACUUCCUGAACAUGACACAACACCAUGCUAUUAAUUUGUAUAUAUCUGAUCCUCAUGGCACAGUCCUAUUUUUCAUGAAUAAUUCAGUCAUAUAUUGAUGCAUAUAUACUGUGACUGGGCAACUGCACGUUCAACAUUCCAAUAGGCCAAUUUAUGGAAACCUGGCAAUUUCAGAUGUCUAUGAUCAUCAUUAUGUAGACGUGCGUUGCACGUGCACACUUACUAGUAACGAGAAAGGAACGAACCGGCGUGGACGAGCCCUACCCUGCCGAGCCGCCGCCGACCGCCGCCAUGUCUCGUUCGCACUGCCAGGCGGCCAGCCCCGUGCGGCAGCUGGCAGUACUCCCCUUGCCAUAUCCUGCGGCAGGCCCUCUCCUUCGACAAGGCGGCAUGCUGCCCGGGGUUAACAUUUGAGAAAGCAUAGGCUUUCCUAUACCCCCUUAUCUAGCCACUCAUUUUUGCAUCGUGAUUCAUGCGAGUAUAUUUGUCUUUUUUGU